rnacentral:rRNA from 1 species
CAAGUCGAACGGUAACAGGGAUUGCUUGCAAUCCGCUGACGAGUGGCGCACGGGUGCGUAACGCGUAUGCAAUCUGCCUAUAACUGAGGAAUAGCCCAGAGAAAUUUGGAUUAAUACCUCAUAAUAUUGUUUUUUGGCAUCAUUAAACAAUUAAAACUUUGGUGGUUAUAGAUGAGCAUGCGUCCUAUUAGUUUGUUGGUAAGGUAACGGCUUACCAAGGCAUCGAUAGGUAGGGGGCCUGAAAGGGUGAUCCCCCACACUGGUACUGAGACACGGACCAGACUCCUACGGGAGGCAGCAGUGAGGAAUAUUGCGCAAUGGAGGAAACUCUGACGCAGCCAUGCCGCGUGCAGGAAGACGGCCCUACGGGUUGUAAACUGCUUUUAUAUAGGAAGAAACCCCGAUACGUGUAUCGGCUUGACGGUACUAUAUGAAUAAGGACCGGCUAACUCCGUGCCAGCAGCCGCGGUAAUACGGAGGGUCCAAGCGUUAUCCGGAUUUAUUAGGUUUAAAGGGUCCGCAGGCGGGAUUUUAAGUCAGUGGUGAAAGCCUACAGCUCAACUGUAGAACUGCCAUUGAUACUGAUAUCCUUGAGUGUGGUUGAAGUGGGCGGAACAUGUCAUGUAGCGGUGAAAUGCAUAGAUAUGACAUAGAACACCAAUUGCGAAGGCAGCUCACUAAGCCAUUACUGACGCUGAGGGACGAAAGCGUGGGGAGCGAACAGGAUUAGAUACCCUGGUAGUCCACGCCGU